UCUUUUUUCUUCUUCUAUUCUUCUUCUUCUAUUCUUCUUCGUCUUCUCUCUGGCGAUUCUGAGAGUCUUUUCUGAAGCUGUGAAAUCAAAAAGAAACUUAGGGGAAUCAAUUAUUUAGUUUGAUAGAUGAAAAGUGGUGAUUGUUCUGUGAAUCUUUGAAGAAGAAGAUGGUUUUGAUAAUGAAUCGAAAACAGUUGAUCUUUAUUAACAACGGUCGAUCUAAAGAAUGAACCAGUGGAUUGUACAUCUCGAGGUAGGUGAGGCUUGUCAUCAAAAGAGAGUGCGCAUAGAAUAAGGUACUGGUAAGCUACAUAUCAUUUAUGACUUGAGGACGGAAACCUCAUGGGCGCCUUAAUGAUCAUUGAAGAAUCUGCGACAGUCAUGCCUUGCUACUCCGAAGGAAGACGUCGCUCAACUACUAUUUAUGUUGUGAAUGUGUGCCGGUUUAUUGUUUCAGAGACAGAUCAGAGUUGGGCAGCGAAA